UACGGGGGGGGCAAGCGUUGUUCGGAAUUACUGGGCGUAAAGGGGACGUAGGCGGCCAACUAAGUCCGACGUGAAAUCCCAAGGCUUAACCUUGGAACUGCGUCGGAUACUGGAUGGCUUGAAUUCGGGAGAGGGAUGCGGAAUUCCAGGUGUAGCGGUGAAAUGCGUAGAUAUCUGGAGGAAUACCGGUGGCGAAGGCGGCAUCCUGGACCGACAUUGACGCUGAAAGCCGAAAGCUAGGGGAGCAAACGGG
rnacentral:rRNA from 1 species